GGGUGCACGAUGUAGAGAGCCUUGAUGUUCUUCUUGUACCUGCAGAGGCAGAACAGGCGCUCGGGGGACAGGCACAGAGCCAGGCCUUGAUGUAUGUCUCCUGACUCGAUGACUCCCGGUAAGCCUGCCAGAUCUGACUGGACAGCUGGGAAAAGCCAAGCCUGAGAUAAUCAGACUGGAAACAAGAUGACAAGACUGAUGAAAGUGCCUCCUUUCAAGGCCGGGUGGAGGGGGGCCAACUAUUAAACAUUUACCAGCAUGCCACUGGAAAGAACCCAUGUGGACCAGUCAGGUUUGACCGUGGAGCAUGCCAGCCAUGCCAGCAAGGACAACAGAGGACUGCAGAGGAGUUGGGGACACAACUCACUUUCCCUUUUGCAGGAGGGGCUCCAAGGCCAGGAAACUGGACUCCCCGGACAUUCAUUGCCACAGGCUUCAUCAAACAACUCUUGCUUGGGCAGUGCCAAUCCGAACACCUCUUGGCAAUCAAGCACACACAUGGAGGAUGCCCCCCAAGAGGGGCCCUGAGCCAGCACUCAGGCCAGGCCAUGGCUCACAGCCAGCCCCAUGACCCCCCAUGGACAAGGCCUCCUCCGUCCUCUGGGGCGCCGUUCCCUUAGGACCCUGCAUGUGUCUCCCCGCACAGCCCCCACGCUGUCAAACCUCCUAUAAUCCUCUGCGAUCUCCACCGCCCCCCGGCACCACCAGCUCCCAGCUCUCGGGAGUGGGGCUGCAAUUAAGCUAGCCCCACCUGGCUUCCACCAAGAGCCCUUCUUGAUCCACAGCCCAGAGAAGGCCAAGCACGGACAGCCAGCAUCAC